rnacentral:tRNA from 1 species
GAGCGCGUAGCUCAGCCGGUAGAGCAACUGACUUUUAAUCAGUGGGUCGUGGGUUCGAGUCCCACCGCGCUCACCA